rnacentral:rRNA from 1 species
UACGUAGGGUGCGAGCGUUGUCCGGAUUUAUUGGGCGUAAAGAGCUCGUAGGCGGCUUGUCGCGUCGGAUGUGAAAGCCCGGGGCUUAACUCCGGGUCUGCAUUCGAUACGGGCAGGCUAGAGUGUGGUAGGGGAGAUCGGAAUUCCUGGUGUAGCGGUGAAAUGCGUAGAUAUCUGGAGGAACACCGGUGGCGAAGGCGGCAUCCUGGACCGAGAUUGACGCUGAGGCGCGAAAGCCAGGGGAGCAAACGGG